CCAAUAGCGUAUAUUAAAGUUGUUGCAGUUAAAAAGCUCGUAGUUGAAUUUCGGGGUCAGUAGGUUGGUCAUGCCACUGGUAUGUACUGGUCUCACUGAUUCCUCCUUCCUGAUGAGCUGUAAUGCCAUUACUUUGGUGUUGCAGGGAAUCUGGACUGUUACUUUGAAAAAGUUAGCGUGUUUAAAGCAGGCUAACGCCUGAAUCCAUUAGCAUGGAAUAAUGAAAUAGGACGUUCGAUCCUAUUUUGUUGGUUUCUAGGAUUGACGUAAUGAUUAAUAGGGAUAGUUGGAGGCAUUAGUAUUCAAUUGUCAGAGGUGAAAUUCUUGGAUUUAUUGAAGACUAACUACUGCGAAAGCAUUUGCCAAGGAUGUUUUCAUUAAUCAAGAACGAAAGUUAGGGGAUCGAAGACGAUCAGAUACCGUCGUAGUCUUAACCAUAAACUAUGCCGACUAGGGAUCGGAUGAUGUUAAUUUUUUAAUGACUCAUUCGGCGCCUUACG
rnacentral:rRNA from 1 species